UACGUAGGUCCCGAGCGUUGUCCGGAUUUAUUGGGCGUAAAGCGAGCGCAGGUGGUUUAUUAAGUCUGGUGUAAAAGGCAGUGGCUCAACCAUUGUAUGCAUUGGAAACUGGUAGACUUGAGUGCAGGAGAGGAGAGUGGAAUUCCAUGUGUAACGGUGAAAUGCGUAAAUAUAUGGAGGAACACCGGUGGCGAAAGCGGCUCUCUGGCCUGUAACUGACACUGAGGCUCGAAAGCGUGGGGAGCAAACAGG
rnacentral:rRNA from 1 species